CCUACGGGCGGCAGCAGUGGGGAAUAUUGGACAAUGGGGGGAACCCUGAUCCAGCCAUGCCGCGUGUGUGAAGAAGGCCCUCGGGUUGUAAAGCACUUUCAGUGAGGAAGAACGCCUGGUGGUUAAUACCCAUCAGGAAAGACAUCACUCACAGAAGAAGCACCGGCUAACUCCGUGCCAGCAGCCGCGGUAAUACGGAGGGUGCGAGCGUUAAUCGGAAUUACUGGGCGUACAGCGCGCGUAGGUGGCUUGAUAAGCCGGUUGUGAAAGCCCCGGGCUCAACCUGGGAACGGCAUCCGGAACUGUCAAGCUAGAGUGCAGGAGAGGAAGGUAGAAUUCCCGGUGUAGCGGUGAAAUGCGUAGAGAUCGGGAGGAAUACCAGUGGCGAAGGCGGCCUUCUGGACUGACACUGACACUGAGGUGCGAAAGCGUGGGUAGCAAACAGGAUUAGAUACCCCGGUAGUC
rnacentral:rRNA from 1 species